rnacentral:tRNA from 1 species
CUGUAGCUCAACUGGCAGAGCAACUGACUCUUAAUCAGUAGGUUCAAGGUUCGAGUCCUUGCGG